rnacentral:lncRNA from 1 species
CGUCACCGGCGGGGGUGCACCAUCUGGUGGAGUCCCUCAGCGCCCUCCAGGGGGAGAGAAGUCGACUGGCAGAGGAGGUGGCCGGCCUGCGCCAGCGGGCGGACGAGCAGGAGAGGGAGAAGCAGCGGCUGGCGGGCAGCUUCCAGCGUCAGAUCCAAGGCCUGAAGGAGCAGAUCCAAGAGCGGGAAGAAGAACUGGAGCAGCUUCGCCUGGGCACGGGCGUGACCGACUCCGAGAAGCGCAUCCACAACCUGACGGUGGAGAACGAGGGGCUAAAGCAAAGCCUGAACAUCACCCAGGGGCUCCUGCAGCAGCUGGCCACCACCCCCACCCCUCCACCGCCCCUGCUGGUCAAGGUGAGGCCCUGCCGUGGGCCGGCCGGGACGUGGCCACCAUGCCGCAGGCGGCGGUUCUCCUCUAGAAACAGGAGAGCCACCUCUUGGCAGUGGCGUUUCAGAAAUCCUACAAGUUGAGGUUAAAAAAAGGAUAAGGAUGUUUCUCUGUAUGGAAGGAGAAGCAUGGAAAGCGUAUUGGAGGGAAAGCAGGUCUUUCCAGGGGAGGAUGGACCUCACUAAAUGCACACAGGAAAAAAAGAAAGAAUAUAAUGGGGAAAGUGGGACAAUUCUGCUUUUGUACGUUUCUGAGUGUAGGCGCUUCCCCUGUCCAAAAAAAAAAAAACUGGGGAAGGGGCAGGGGUAGGGUGGGGGCUAUGUUGGAGGUUUUUAAACAAAGGUUUUUGGGGGCCAGUGGCCGUGGAUGCUUUACAGGUGGAUUUCCCGGGAUGGCCAGGUUGAGGGAGGGGGGCUCUUGAGGUCCCUUCCUGACAAGCCCCCUGUUCCCUGCUUCUCCGAUUCAGGAGGGUUGGGCUCGAAUAACGAAAAUUAAUAACAAAAAGCUGUGAUAGAAGCGCGUUACAGGUGAAUGCAGCCGACGAAGGGCUCGGGAGGUGGUCUUUCGAGAGGCCUGUCCUCUCUCUCUCUCUCUGCUGUCCCUGCCCCAUUUCGGCAAGUGUCGGCGAAAGGACCCGGCGGGCUGGCGCUUGGUGCUGGCGCUCUCGAUGGGGCCCUGGGCCGGUUUCUGUUGUCCUGCAGGGAUUGGGAAUCUGGCUGAGUCCUGGACGAUCUUUGAGCACUUGGCCCCCCCCUUCUCUUUCUGAGGAGGUGGGUCUUAAGGGAGUGGAGGCUCCAUGGGCUGGGGG